AUGGCCACCAUGGACGUCCUCUCCGCCAAGUUCCUCCGCUCCUGCCUCCACCCGCACGCCCCCUUUCUUCCCUGCCCAUCCCUCCCGUCCCGACGCUACCGCCAGCCCUUCUCAAUCUACUGCCGCCUCAGCACCUCCUCCCCCUCGUCCUCCUCCGCCGCCACCACAUCCGAGGGGGACGCAAACCAGGACCUUUCCGCCCUCCUCUCCGAUGAAUCCACCACCGCCGCGCCCGGCGCCGGUUCCAGGACGAAGCGGCCGAACAGCGGCGCGUCGAGCAUCCCGUCCGGGGUGCGGCUGGAGAACAUCUCCAAGUCUUACAAGGGAGUGACAGUCCUGAAGGACGUAUCCUGGGAAGUGCAGCGUGGGGAGAAGGUGGGGCUCGUUGGCGUCAACGGCGCCGGCAAGACCACGCAACUCCGCAUCAUCGCCGGUCUCGAAGAGCCCGACGGCGGCAACGUCGUCAAGGCCAAGGAGAACAUGAAGAUCGCCUUCCUCAGCCAGGAGUUCGAAGUCUGCGCCUCCCGGACCGUCAGGGAGGAGUUUCUCAGCGCCUUCCAGGAGGAGAUGGGCGUCAAGACCCGCCUCGACCAGGUGCAGGCGGCGCUUGAGCGAGCAACCGAGGACAUGGACCUCAUGGGGAGGCUCCUCGACGAGCUCGACCUGCUGCAGCGGCAAUCGCAGGACGUCGACCUGGGCAUGGUGGAUGUCAAGAUUCAGAAGCUCAUGCCCGAGCUCGGGUUUGUGCCGGAGGACGCUGACCGCCUUGUCGCAUCCUUCAGCGGAGGCUGGAAGAUGAGGAUGUCGCUUGGCAAGAUACUUCUUCAGGAUCCUGAUUUGCUUCUACUUGACGAGCCCACAAAUCAUGUCGAUUUGGAUACCAUUGAGUGGCUGGAGAGCUACCUUAAGAUCCAGGAUGUACCAAUGGUCAUCAUAUCUCAUGACAGGGCUUUCCUUGAUCAGUGUUGUACAAAGAUAGUGGAGACUGAAUUUGGGGUGUCGAAAAUGUACAAGGGUAACUAUUCUGAAUAUGUUCUAGCAAAGGCGAUUUGGGUGGAAACUCAACGUGCUGCAUGGGAGAAGCAGCAGAAGGAGAUUGAACAUACAAGGGAACUGAUAAGUCGGCUUGGGGCUGGAGCUAGCUCGGGGCGUGCUUCAAGUGAGCAAAAGAAAUUGGAAAAGCUUGAGAAAGAAGGGUUGAUUGAGAAACCUUUCCAAAGGAAGCAGUUAAAGAUCAGGUUUCCUGAACGUGGGAGAAGCGGUAGAACUGUGUUAGCAAUAAAUAAUCUCAAGUUUGGGUUUGGGGAUAAGAUAUUGUUCAACAAUGCUAAUCUAAUAGUUGAGAGAGGCGAAAAGAUAGCCAUUAUUGGCCCCAAUGGAUGUGGUAAGAGCACAUUACUGAAACUUGCUUUGGGAACGGAGAAGCCACAAGAAGGUGAAGUCAUUCUUGGGGAGCAUAAUGUCCUGCCUAACUACUUCGAGCAGAAUCAGGCAGAAGCUCUUGAUUUAGAGAAGACUGUACUGGACACUGUAGCUGAAGCUGCAGAGGAUUGGAAAAUUGAUGAUAUCAAAGGUCUCCUUGGUCGUUGUAACUUUAGGGAUGACAUGCUGAAUAGAAAGGUUCGGUUUCUAAGUGGUGGAGAGAAGGCGAGGCUUUCCUUUUGCAAGUUCAUGGUGACUCCGUCUACUUUACUAAUCUUGGAUGAACCGACAAAUCACCUCGAUAUUCCAUCAAAGGAAAUGCUUGAGGAGGCAAUAUCAGAAUACACGGGCACUGUAAUUACAGUUUCUCAUGAUCGGUAUUUUGUAAAACAAAUAGUUAACAGAGUCAUUGAAGUGAAAGAUCAAACUAUCCAGGACUAUCAAGGAGAUUACAAUUAUUACCUUGAAAGGAACCUGGAGGCGAGAGAAAGGGAACUUGCACGUGCGGAAGAGCUCGAGGAAAAGGCCCCCAAAGUAAAAGCCAAGUCAAAAAUGUCAAAGGCCGAAAAACUUGCAAGGAAGAAACAGAAAGUGCAGGCCUUCCAACAAAGCAAGCAGAAAUCAAAAUCAAUGAAAAACUCGAAGAGGUGGAACUGA
rnacentral:rRNA from 1 species